UCCCUGGUAGUAUAUCGGUUAGUACACGCGCCUGUCAAUGAAACAUCUAUUGUUGUAUCAAGCUACGCGCGAAAGCUGGGUUCGACUCCCAGCCAGGGAG